GACGAACGCUGGCGGCGUGCUUAACACAUGCAAGUCGAGCGAUGAAGUUCCUUCGGGAAUGGACUAGCGGCGGACGGGUGAGUAACACGUGGGUAACCUGCCUCAUAGAGGGGAAUAGCCUUUCGAAAGGAAGAUUAAUACCGCAUAAGAUUGUAGCUUCGCAUGAAGCAGCAAUUAAAGGAGUAAUCCGCUAUGAGAUGGACCCGCGUCGCAUUAGCUAGUUGGUGAGGUAACGGCUCACCAAGGCGACGAUGCGUAGCCGACCUGAGAGGGUGAUCGGCCACAUUGGGACUGAGACACGGCCCAGACUCCUACGGGAGGCAGCAGUGGGGAAUAUUGCACAAUGGGGGAAACCCUGAUGCAGCAACGCCGCGUGAGUGAUGACGGUCUUCGGAUUGUAAAACUCUGUCUUCAGGGACGAUAAUGACGGUACCUGAGGAGGAAGCCACGGCUAACUACGUGCCAGCCGCCGCCGUAA
rnacentral:rRNA from 1 species